rnacentral:rRNA from 1 species
UACGUAGGGUCCGAGCGUUUGUCCGGAAUUACUGGGCGUAAAGAGCUCGUAGGUGGUUUGUCGCGUCUGCCGUGAAAGUCCGGGGCUCAACUCCGGAUCUGCGGUGGGUACGGGCAGACUAGAGUGAUGUAGGGGAGACUGGAAUUCCUGGUGUAGCGGUGAAAUGCGCAGAUAUCAGGAGGAACACCGAUGGCGAAGGCAGGUCUCUGGGCAUUACCUGACGCUGAGGAGCGAAAGCGUGGGGAGCGAACAGG